rnacentral:rRNA from 1 species
AACGAACGCUGGCGGCAGGCUUAAUACAUGCAAGUCGAACGCCCCGCCAGGGGAGUGGCAGACGGGUGAGUAACGCGUGGGGAUCUACCCAUCCCUACGGAAUAACGCAUGGAAACGUGUGCUAAUACCGGAUACGCCCUACGGGGGAAAGGUUUAUCGGGGAUGGCUGAGCCCGCGUUGGAUUAGCUAGUUUGUGGGGUAAAGGCGUCCCAACGCGACAAUCCAUAGCUGGUCUGAGAGAAUGAUCAGCCACAUUGGGACUGAGACACAGCCCAAAAUCCUACGGGAGGGAGCAGUGGGGAAUAGUGGACAAUGGGCGCAAGGCUGAUCCAGCCAUGCCGCGUGAGUGAUGAAGGCCUUAGGGUAGUAAAGCUCUUUCAACGGAGAAGAUAAUGACGGUAUCCGGAGAAGAAGCCCCGGCUAACUUCGUG